CGGCAAAGAAGCCACGCUAAGAACGCCACGUCGUGUGGCAACGUCUGGUACCUACAUCCUGUAGG
rnacentral:sRNA from 1 species